rnacentral:rRNA from 1 species
AGAGUUUGAUCCUGGCUCAGAUUGAACGCUGGCGGCAGGCCUAACACAUGCAAGUCGAACGGUAACAGGAAGAAGCUUGCUUCUUUGCUGACGAGUGGCGGACGGGUGAGUAAUGUCUGGGAAACUGCCUGAUGGAGGGGGAUAACUACUGGAAACGGUAGCUAAUACCGCAUAACGUCGCAAGACCAAAGAGGGGGACCUUCGGGCCUCUUGCCAUCGGAUGUGCCCAGAUGGGAUUAGCUUGUUAGUGGGGUAACGGCUCACCAAGGCGACGAUCCCUAGCUGGUCUGAGAGGAUGACCAGCCACACUGGAACUGAGACACGGUCCAGACUCCUACGGGAGGCAGCAGUGGGGAAUAUUGCACAAUGGGCGCAAGCCUGAUGCAGCCAUGCCGCGUGUAUGAAGAAGGCCUUCGGGUUGUAAAGUACUUUCAGCGGGGAGGAAGGGAGUAAAGUUAAUACCUUUGCUCAUUGACGUUACCCGCAGAAGAAGCACCGGCUAACUCCGUGCC